rnacentral:rRNA from 1 species
AACGAACGCUGGCGGCAUGCCUAACACAUGCAAGUCGAACGAGACCUUCGGGUCUAGUGGCGCACGGGUGCGUAACGCGUGGGAACCUGCCCUUAGGUUCGGAAUAACUCCCCGAAAGGGGUGCUAAUACCGGAUAAUGUCUUCGGACCAAAGAUUUAUCGCCUUUGGAUGGGCCCGCGUUGGAUUAGCUAGUUGGUAGGGUAAAAGCCUACCAAGGCGACGAUCCAUAGCUGGUCUGAGAGGAUGAUCAGCCACACUGGGACUGAGACACGGCCCAGACUCCUACGGGAGGCAGGAGUGGGGAAUAUUGGACAAUGGGCGAAAGCCUGAUCCAGCAAGGCCGCGUGAGUGAUGAAGGCCUUAGGGUUGUAAAGCUCUUUUACCCGGGAUGAUAAUGACAGUACCGGGAGAAUAAGCUCCGGCUAACUCCGUG